UUGAUCCUGGCUCAGAUUGAACGCUGGCGGCAGGCCUAACACAUGCAAGUCGAACGGUAGCACAGAGGAGCUUGCUCCUUGGGUGACGAGUGGCGGACGGGUGAGUAAUGUCUGGGAAACUGCCCGAUGGAGGGGGAUAACUACUGGAAACGGUAGCUAAUACCGCAUAACGUUGCAAGACCAAAGAGGGGGACCUUCGGGCCUCUUGCCAUCGGAUGUGCCCAGAUGGGAUUAGCUAGUAGGUGGGGUAACGGCUCACCUAGGCGACGAUCCCUAGCUGGUCUGAGAGGAUGACCAGCCACACUGGAACUGAGACACGGUCCAGACUCCUACGGGAGGCAGCAGUGGGGAAUAUUGCACAAUGGGCGCAAGCCUGAUGCAGCCAUGCCGCGUGUAUGAAGAAGGCCUUCGGGUUGUAAAGUACUUUCAGCGAGGAGGAAGGCGUUGUGGUUAAUAACCGCA
rnacentral:rRNA from 1 species